rnacentral:rRNA from 1 species
GUCUACGGCCAUACCACCCUGAACACGCCCAAUCUUGUCUGAUCUCGGAAGCUAAGCAGGGUCGGGCCUGAUUAGUACUUGGAUGGGACAUGGCAGGUAUAAGGGAAACAGGUACUCUGCU